rnacentral:rRNA from 1 species
GGAUCAAUUUGCCGGUCGAGACCUCUGGUACGUACUUGUAUUAUUGAUUUCUCCCUUCUGACGAACCAUGAUGUCAUUAAUUUGAUGUCGUGGAGAAUCAGGACUGUUACUUUGAAAAAAUUAGAGUGUUUAAAGCAGGCUCACGCUUGAAUACAUUAGCAUGGAAUAAUGAAAUAGGACGUUUGAUUCUAUUUUGUUGGUUUCUAGGAUCGACGUA